rnacentral:rRNA from 1 species
AGCAGCCGCGGUAAUUCCAGCUCCAAUAGCGUAUAUUAAAGUUGUUGCAGUUAAAAAGCUCAUAGUUGAAUUUCGGGGUUAGUAGGGUGGUCAUGCCUCUGGUAUGUACUGGUUCUACUGAUCCCUCUUUCUUGUAGAACUGUAAUGCCAUUAAUUUGGUGUUGCGGGGACACAGGACUGUUACUUUGAAAAAAUUAGAGUGUUUAAAGCAGGCUAACGCUUGAAUACAUGGAAUAAUGAAAUAGGAUGAUCAAUCCUAUUUUGUUGGUUUCUAGGAUUGACAUAAUGAUUAAUAGGGAUAGUUGGG